GACAAUGGAUGAAUUUUCUUUUUAAUUAACUCAUAACAUUGUUUUGAUAGUUCUAACAAAUAUCUAAUCAUUGUUCCAUGUUAUGUUAUUUGCUUUAAUUUCUUUCUUCUCUAUUUUUACCUUCCUUUAAUUUGUUUUCUGAUUCCAAAACUCUCUCAGUUCCAUGAGAAUUAAAAUCAUUAUCUUUCAUAUUCACUAAACUUUUUUCUUGCUUUAUUUAUUCCUUUGUUUUAAAAAUUUUACCCAAGAGCUAUAAGUAACAUGCUUUGUUAAAAAGGAUUCAAAUAGUAUGGAAGCAUGCUGACAAAAUAAGUGAAGCUUAUUUUAUUGUCAGUCUUGUCACUGAGUACCAUUGUAAGUUUUCUUUUACCGUAUCUUUAAAAAAAUUACAUAAUUCAGCCAUGCAUCAGCUCAAAAUUCUCUAAACUGAUUUCAAAGUAUGAAUUAUUUAAUAUUUCUUAGACCAUGAAGAGUUUUAUAAAUUUAACAUACUAUGUAAUAAAUUGCAUUUUUAAU
rnacentral:lncRNA from 1 species